rnacentral:rRNA from 1 species
AUUGAACGCUGGCGGCAUGCCUUACACAUGCAAGUCGAACGGUAACAGGUUAAGCUGACGAGUGGCGAACGGGUGAGUAAUGUAUCGGAACGUGCCCAGUCGUGAGGGAUAACUGCUCGAAAGAGCAGCUAAUACCGCAUACGACCUGAGGGUGAAAGCGGGGGAUCGCAAGACCUCGCGCGAUUGGAGCGGCCGAUAUCAGAUUAGGUAGUUGGUGAGGUAAAGGCUCACCAAGCCGACGAUCUGUAGCUGGUCCGAGAGGACGACCAGCCACACUGGGACUGAGACACGGCCCAGACUCCUACGGGAGGCAGCAGUGGGGAAUUUUGGACAAUGGGCGCAAGCCUGAUCCAGCCAUGCCGCGUGCGGGAAGAAGGCCUUCGGGUUGUAAACCGCUUUUGUCAGGGAAGAAAAGGUUCUGGCUAAUACCUGGGACUCAUGACGGUACCUGAAGAAUAAGCACCGGCUAACUACGUGCCAGCAGCCGCGGUAAAAC